rnacentral:rRNA from 1 species
AUCGCAUGAUAUUUUUAUUAAAGAAUUUCGGUUAUCGAUGGGGAUGCGUUCCAUUAGUUUGUUGGCGGGGUAACGGCCCACCAAGACUACGAUGGAUAGGGGUUCUGAGAGGAAGGUCCCCCACAUUGGAACUGAGACACGGUCCAAACUCCUACGGGAGGCAGCAGUGAGGAAUAUUGGUCAAUGGGCGAGAGCCUGAACCAGCCAAGUAGCGUGAAGGAUGAAGGCUCUAUGGGUCGUAAACUUCUUUUAUAUGGGAAUAAAGUUUUCCACGUGUGGAAUUUUGUAUGUACCAUAUGAAUAAGGAUCGGCUAACUCCGUGCCAGCAGCCGCGGUAAUACGGAGGAUCCGAGCGUUAUCCGGAUUUAUUGGGUUUAAAGGGAGCGUAGGUGGAUUGUUAAGUCAGUUGUGAAAGUUUGCGGCUCAACCGUAAAAUUGCAGUUGAAACUGGCAGUCUUGAGUACAGUAGAGGUGGGCGGAAUUCGUGGUGUAGCGGUGAAAUGCUUAGAUAUCACGAAGAACUCCGAUUGCGAAGGCAGCUCACUAGACUGUCACUGACACUGAUGCUCGAAAGUGUGGGUAUCAAACAGCAUUAGAUACCCUGGUAGUCCACACAGUA